rnacentral:rRNA from 1 species
UACGGAGGCAGCAGUGGGGAAUAUUGCACAAUGGGCGCAAGCCUGAUGCAGCCAUGCCGCGUGUAUGAAGAAGGCCUUCGGGUUGUAAAGUACUUUCAGUCGUGAGGAAGGUGUUAAGGUUAAUAACCUUAGCAAUUGACGUUAGCGACAGAAGAAGCACCGGCUAACUCCGUGCCAGCAGCCGCGGUAAUACGGAGGGUGCGAGCGUUAAUCGGAAUUACUGGGCGUAAAGGGCACGCAGGCGGUUAAUUAAGUUGGAUGUGAAAUCCCCGGGCUUAACCUGGGAAUGGCAUUCAAGACUGGUUAGCUAGAGUCUUGUAGAGGGGGUAGAAUUCCAUGUGUAGCGGUGAAAUGCGUAGAGAUGUGGAGGAAUACCGGUGGCGAAAGGCGGCCCCUGGACAAAGACUGACGCUCAUGUGCGAAAGCGUGGGGAGCAAACAGGGAUUAGAUACC